AAAAACUAUCCUAACAUAAAACUAAACCCUAACCCUAAUACUAACCCUUACCCAGUAACCCUAACCUAACCCUAACCUAAACCCUAACCUAAACCCUAACCUAACCCCAACUUAUUUUAAAAAUUGAUAUAAAAACGGAAACCUUAUUUUGAAGUAUACUAUCUAGCAAUUGCCGUUCGCAAUGGUCUAGCAAACAACGAAUUCGAUUAAAUUUCCCCAUUUCAGCGUUUUAUCCCCAUUUCAGCGUUUUAUCCCCAUUUCAGCGUUUUACCCCCAUUUCAGCGUUUUACCCCCAUUUCAGCGUUUUAUCCCCAUUUCAGCGUUUUGCCCCCAUUUCAGCGUUUUACCCCCAUUUCAGCGUUUUACCCCCAUUUCAGCGUUUUACCCCCAUUUCAGCGUUUUACCCCCAUUUCAGCGUCUUACUCCCAUUUCAGUUUCCGCUUUCAGUUUCCGUUUCCGCGAUUCAGUUUCAGCGUUUUAUCCCUACCCCUUGUAUGAAGCAAGAGUUCAAAAACAUUCCGAAGUACUGUAAAAUGUAAUGAAAUCGACA